rnacentral:lncRNA from 10 species
GGAGGCCAAGGCGAGCGGAUCACCUGAGGUCAGGAGUUCGAGACCAGCCUGGCCGACAUGGUGAAGCUGUGUCUCUACUAAGGGUAAAUGGAGGCAACAGUAGUUAAUGAACAUCUGGAAGAGGCUGAGGAAAAAAAAAAAACAGUGGCAGUCUGGAAUUUUCCUGGAGCUCAUUGUGGGACAAAACCAAGCAGCAUGAAUAAAAUCUUCAUCAUUCACACACUU